rnacentral:snRNA from 11 species
AUACUUACCUGGCAGGGGAGAUACCAUGAUCACAAAGGUGGUUUUCCCUGGGCAAGGCUUAUCCAUAAUGUUCACAACUUUUUGAAACACGUCAGCAAAAUGAGU